rnacentral:rRNA from 1 species
UACAGAGGUGGCAAGCGUUGUUCGGAAUUACUGGGCGUAAAGGGCGCGUAGGCGGUUCGAUAAGUCCCGUGUGAAAUCCCUCGGCUCAACUGAGGAAUGGCACGGGAAACUGACGGGCUUGAGUUCGGGAGAGGGAAGCGGAAUUCCGGGUGUAGCGGUGAAAUGCGUAGAUAUCUGGAGGAACACCGGUGGCGAAAGCGGCUCACUGGAUCGAAACUGACGCUGAGGUGCGAAAGCUAGGGUAGCAAACGGG